GAUGAAGAACGCAGCGAAAUGCGAUACGUAAUGUGAAUUGCAGAAUUCAGUGAAUCAUCGAGUCUUUGAACGCACAUUGCGCCCCCUGGUAUUCCGGGGGGCAUGCCUGUCCGAGCGUCAUUGCUGCCCUCAAGCACGGCUUGUGUGUUGGGCCUCCGUCCUCCUCCCGGUGGACGGGCCCGAAAGGCAGCGGCGGCACCGCGUCCGGUCCUCGAGCGUAUGGGGCUUCGUCACCCGCUCUUGUAGGCCCGGCCGGCGCUUGCCGACACAUCAAUCUUUUUUCCAGGUUGACCUCGGAUCAGGUAGGGAUACCCGCUGAACUUAAGCAUAUCAAUAAGCGGAGGA
rnacentral:misc_RNA from 1 species